UGCACUUGUGUGUGUGUCUUUGUUUAAUUUGUAACAAAGCCUUAGGACAGGUGCAAACAGCAAAUCCUCUUUUGCAACCCAGAACUCAUUGUUUAGUAUGAGAUUUUGGUACAUAUAAGACGGAAUAUG